ACCACGGCAGCGACGUGGGGCGCCAGACACGAGCCAGGGAGCGUCUGGGCAGGCGCGCGAGGAGCCGACCGCUCGAGCGGGCAUCUUCCGAUUACAGAUCGAACAAUCUUCAGCCCUAUCCUUUUCCCCCAAACCUAGCACUACCUGAAGGCUCUGGCGGCGGCGAGCGACUCUAGGUCCGGCGGCCGGCCUUCUCCUCCCUCGGUUAGCCGCUUCCCCCAGACCCCAGUGCCGGCCAUCUCCCUCGGUCCCUCCCCUACGGCUCUACCCUCUGCCUCCGGCGUCCGGCCCUCUUCUCCGCGGCUCCACCAGUCCGCCUCCGGCCUCCCCGACGCCGCGACAGCGCCAUCCAUCAGUCAGCAGAUGAAGAAGAAGGGGAACAAAACUAUGAUGAAGAAGAAGGAUGUUAGCAUAUUUCAAAUGUGGGACAAAUCUUCAAAGACAAGGAAACUAACUUCUACAUCCACACCAACUCCUCUUUCCGUUGAGGUUGAGAGCAAUCUGCAGCUAGCACUAGUGCAAACUUCUUAAGUUGGUUUCUCAUGUGCAAUUAAGCAUGUUCAUUUCUCAUGUGCGUAAGGAUAAAAGGUUUAGCAAGUUGAAGAAUCUAUGUGAGCUUUCAGUUUUGAUGGUUGAGACAAGAAAGAAUGAACAAUAUUAUAUUGUUUACAAAAUUCUUAAGUUGGUUCUCAUUCUUCCGGUAGCCACUGCUAGCGUUGAGAGGGUAUUUUCCUCGAUGAAAUACGUGAAGAAUUCACUCAGAAACAAAAUGGGUGAUGAAUAUUUGAACGAUUGCUUGGUUACAUUCGUUGAGAGAGAAUUCUUCAGGCAAGUGAAAGAUGAGGAUGUCAUCAAUCUCUUCCGAAAAGGGGAUCGUAAAGUUAUAUUGUAAUUUCCUUUGCUAUUUGUAAUCUUCGUAAUUGUUAGAGUUAUUGCCACAAUGAUAUUUUGCUACUAUUAUCAAUGUAUGGUCAUUGAGUCA